GAUGAACGCUAGCUACAGGCUUAACACAUGCAAGUCGAGGGGCAGCAUUUUAGUUUGCUUGCAAACUGAAGAUGGCGACCGGCGCACGGGUGAGUAACACGUAUCCAACCUGCCGAUAACUCCGGGAUAGCCUUUCGAAAGAAAGAUUAAUACCGGAUAGUAUACGAAUAUCGCAUGAUAUUUUUAUUAAAGAAUUUCGGUUAUCGAUGGGGAUGCGUUCCAUUAGUUUGUUGGCGGGGUAACGGCCCACCAAGACUACGAUGGAUAGGGGUUCUGAGAGGAAGGUCCCCCACAUUGGAACUGAGACACGGUCCAAACUCCUACGGGAGGCAGCAGUGAGGAAUAUUGGUCAAUGGGCGCGAGCCUGAACCAGCCAAGUAGCGUGAAGGAUGAAGGCUCUAUGGGUCGUAAACUUCUUUUAUAUGGGAAUAAAGUUUUCCACGUGUGGAAUUUUGUAUGUACCAUAUGAAUAAGGAUCGGCUAACUCCGUGCCAGCAGCCGCGGUAAUACGGAGGAUCCGAGCGUUAUCCGGAUUUAUUGGGUUUAAAGGGAGCGUAGGUGGAUUGUUAAGUCAGUUGUGAAAGUUUGCGGCUCAACCGUAAAAUUGCAGUUGAAACUGGCAGUCUUGAGUACAGUAGAGGUGGGCGGAAUUCGUGGUGUAGCGGUGAAAUGCUUAGAUAUCACGAAGAACUCCGAUUGCGAAGGCAGCUCACUAGACUGUCACUGACACUGAUGCUCGAAAGUGUGGGUAUCAAACAGGAUUAGAUACCCUGGUAGUCCACACAGUAAACGAUGAAUACUCGCUGUUUGCGAUAUACAGUAAGCGGCCAAGCGAAAGCAUUAAGUAUUCCACCUGGGGAGUACGCCGGCAACGGUGAAACUCAAAGGAAUUGACGGGGGCCCGCACAAGCGGAGGAACAUGUGGUUUAAUUCGAUGAUACGCGAGGAACCUUACCCGGGCUUAAAUUGCAACAGAAUAUAUUGGAAACAGUAUAGCCGUAAGGCUGUUGUGAAGGUGCUGCAUGGUUGUCGUCAGCUCGUGCCGUGAGGUGUCGGCUUAAGUGCCAUAACGAGCACAACCCUUAUCUUUAGUUACUAACAGGUUAUGCUGAGGACUCUAGAGAGACUGCCGUCGUAAGAUGUGAGGAAGGUGGGGAUGACGUCAAAUCAGCACGGCCCUUACGUCCGGGGCUACACACGUGUUACAAAUGGGGGGUACAGAAGGCGGCUACCUGGUGACAGGAUGCUAAUCCCAAAAACCUCUCUCAGUUCGGAUCGAAGUCUGCAAACCCGACUUCGUGAAGCUGGAUUCGCUAGUAAUCGCGGCAUUCAGCCAUGGCGCGGGGAAUACGUUCCCGGCCCU
rnacentral:rRNA from 1 species